UUGGGCCGCCCUCUCUGCUCGCAAGUUGCAACGUGAUAUUUUAAAAAAAUCUCACACCCCAUUAAAUAACAGAAAACAGCGUCAAACAUGAACUAACAACACAGCUGAAACUGAAACUUGAAAGGCUGCUGGCAAAAACUUCUCUCGAAUCAUCGAUCGCAGAGACCCUUCGCUACUUUCGUUCAUUCCUUCGUUCUCCUUCAUCAGUUCUUUUCUCUGUCGUCUCGCCGCCGGUAAGGCCAUUCGAAACCUCUGAAAAAUAAUAACCAUCAAGACGAACCAACCACUACCUAGGGUUUUGUUCCCGAUCGAUCUCCUCUCGAUUUCCCUAUCCAUGCCCUAAUUUUUUUUAUCUUUGAUCUCCGGUUGCUUUUUUUAAUUAAUGUUGUGUUUGUGUUUUUGUUCUUAAUUCUCAAUUUGAUAUUUUUGUGUAUUCUUCAUAUGCUGUUACUUUCCCCCGAUUUGAUACAAUUCACUGUUGGCUGUAUUGAGGAAAAGAAGGAUAAGAUAAGUUAUUGUAAUUGAACCUUUCGUGUUCUUGAUUGGGUUAUGUGAAUUAUUGAAAACCUAAUCGAAUAUUGAUUCUAUUUUUGGGGUUAGGGUUGGAAAUUUGAGAUUUUAAAGGGGUUUUUGGAUUGAAUACAUAUUUUCCUCAAUAAAUUGGUUUACUGAUUGAGAGGAAUUGUGCUUGUGACUAUCAAAUGGCGGCAGGGCGAAAAGGUGUUGUUCUGAGAAGAGAAUCUUACAGGGAGAGUUCCAUCAAGGAGCUUGAUCACUGUAGGAAUGGUUCUGUACAGAAUGGGUUUCAUGUUGGAAAAGAGGAGAGAGAGGAAGGUGAGCUCUGUGUCGAGCCUGGGGUGCGUGACUAUGAACCUGCCUCAGGGUUUAAAGCAGUUGAUGGAGAUGAGGUCUUGCCACCACCGGGAAAGAGAAGAAAAUUUUCUCCGAUUGUGUGGGAUCUACCAGAGAAGGAAGGAGUGAUCCCCUCCAAAAAAGGGGUCACACAGGUUACUACUGUGUCUCACUCCUGUCCAACUCUGUUGACAAGCCCCGUACAAGAUGGUCGUUUGCAUGGGGGUGUCUCUAGGAUGCCUCCACAAAAUUCAUCUUGUGUCUUGCAGCCAGGGCAUGAUGACCAAGAAGCAGAUGAAGAGAACAAUGCCCAAGGGUGGAACAUCAAAAUGUCUAGAUGGGCUUCUGAUGGUCAAUCACCGGUGGGUGCUGUUGCUGAAUUUAAUUUUGGCAAAGUGAAGCCAAGUCCUGAGAUUGGUGAAUUUCAAAGAGAAUGUUCAGAAAGCACAAUCACUAGAUCCUCAGGAAGCAAUGGACGAGAUAAUAGUGGGGGCCGUUUUGAUGGUAGUGAUUCUGAAAAGGAAUUCCCUACUGACUUCAUGGUCGAUGAUGAGGAACAGAGUGAUGUUGGUGAUUAUGCAUGUGAUUCUGAUGAAGAUGCCGGUUUAAUGCACCCGCAGAGAAAUAUAAACAUGCUUCAGAGUUGUAGAAGUGUGUGUGAGUUUGAAAUGAUUAAGAAAAUCAACGAAGGAACUUAUGGUGUUGUCUAUAAGGCUAGGGAUAAGAAGACCGGAGAAAUAGUAGCAUUGAAGAAGGUGAAGAUGAAUAUAGAAAGGGAUGGCUUUCCAUUGUCAUCCUUGAGGGAAAUUAACAUUCUCUUGUCUUUUGAUCACCCCGCCAUUGUGGAUGUUAAAGAAGUAGUUGUGGAUAGUUAUGAUGGUACUUUCAUGGUGAUGGAGUACAUGGAGCAUGACCUUAAGGGACUGAUGGAGGCAAAGAAGCAGCCCUUCAGUAUGGGUGAAAUAAAAUCUUUGAUGCUGCAACUUCUUGAAGGUGUCAAGUAUCUCCAUGACAAUUGGGUUCUCCAUAGGGACUUAAAGACAUCAAACAUUCUGCUGAGCGACAAGGGGAAGCUGAAAAUAUGUGACUUUGGGUUGUCCCGGCAGUUUGGAAGCCCACUGAAGCCAUAUACGCCUAUUGUUGUGACACUAUGGUACAGGGCUCCAGAGCUUUUGUUAGGAGCUAAGGAAUAUUCAACCGCAAUUGACAUGUGGUCAGUGGGUUGCAUAAUGGCCGAGUUUGUUGCCAGGGAACCUCUGUUCACGGGUAGAACAGAACUUGAACAAAUUGAUAAGAUUUUUAGGACCCUGGGUACACCUGAUGAGAAGAUUUGGCCGGGCUUAUCUAAAUUACCUGGUCCUAAAGCAAAAUUUGUUAAACAACCAUGAUUUCUAUUUCAGGUACAAUAUGCUAAGGAAGAAAUUUCCAGCCACAUCUUUUACUGGUUCACCAGUUCUGUCUGAGCUAGGAUUCGACUUGUUGAAGAAGCUUCUUACUUACAAUCCCGAAGAGAGGAUAAGUGCAGAAGAGGCCCUUCUUCAUGAUUGGUUCCAUGAAGUCCCCCUUCCAAAAUCUGAUUUCAAACCAAUUUUCCCUUUGCGUGGCUAGGCUAGGCUAGGCACUUUUGGUGCACGGAUUAAAAACCAAGAACAAUGCUAUUUUUUAUCGUCAUUGUUUCUAAUUAGGUCCUUCCCAUUAAGUGAAUAUCCAGAUAAAUGAUAUGAUAGCAAUGGACACAGGCCAAGGAAUUAACCUAGGCUCCAGUUACUUAUUAAUUAGAAAGCGGCAGAUUGAUGUAUAUAUAGUAGUUGAGUUGGUUGGCGUUGUGACUUAUAUGUAUUUGUCUACUCAAAUUCACAUGUUUUGUAUUCGCUUAGAGAUGUACAUGUGUAUCGUGAUUUAUUCUGUAGAUUUGAUGAGUUCCAUGCUCUAUCUUAAUGCUCUUUCUUUUGUCAUA